CCUACGGGAGGCAGCAGUAGGGAAUAUUGGGCAAUGGGCGCAAGCCUGACCCAGCAACGCCGCGUGAAGGAAGAAGGCUCUCGGGUUGUAAACUUCUUUUCUCAGGGACGAAGAAAGUGACGGUACCUGAGGAAUAAGCCACGGCUAACUACGUGCCAGCAGCCGCGGUAAUACGUAGGUGGCAAGCGUUAUCCGGAUUUACUGGGUGUAAAGGGCGUGUAGGGGGGGAAGCAAGUCAGAUGUGAAAACCACGGGCUCAACCUGUGGCCUGCAGUUGAAACUGAUGUUCUUGAGUGCUGGAGAGGCAGACGGAAUGCGUAGUGUAGCGGUGAAAUGCGUAGAUAUUAGGAGGAACACCAGUGGCGAAGGCAGUCUGCUGGACAGCAACUGACGCUGAGGCGCGAAAGCGUGGGGAGCGAACAGGAUUAGAUACCCCUGUAGUC
rnacentral:rRNA from 1 species